rnacentral:lncRNA from 1 species
AAUCAUGCCAAAAGCCUUCUUUUCACGUCCUGUGAAGUCCUUCAUCUCUUUAGCAUCAGCAUGCGUGCUUGGAGGCUCUUUAUUUUCAUCUACAAUAUCCCAAAGGUCCAAAGACGCCAACAAACACUCUAUUUUGACCUUCCAAUGGUAGAAAUUAUCACCUCUAAACUUCUCAAUCAGUCUCAAACCUUCACCCUCACUUGAAGCCAUGUCUUAGAAGAGGUCUAUCAAAAAAUAUCAAGAAAAGGAGUCUCUGUGUGCCUAAAAUCACCAAAAUAAUUUUAUAUUAGUAAAAUCUUAG